CCUACGGGUGGCAGCAGUGGGGAAUAUUGGACAAUGGGGGCAACCCUGAUCCAGCCAUGCCGCGUGAGUGAAGAAGGCCUUCGGGUUGUAAAGCUCUUUAAGCGGGGAGGAAGGUCGUGCAGUUAAUACCUGCGCGAAUUGACGUUACCUGCAGAAUAAGCACCGGCUAACUCUGUGCCAGCAGCCGCGGUAAUACAGAGGGUGCAAGCGUUAAUCGGAAUUACUGGGCGUAAAGCGUGCGUAGGCGGCUGAUUAAGCUGGAUGUGAAAGCCCCGGGCUUAACCUGGGAACUGCAUUCAGGACUGGUCAGCUCGAGUCUGGGAGAGGGUGGUGGAAUUUCCGGUGUAGCGGUGAAAUGCGUAGAUAUCGGAAGGAACAUCAGUGGCGAAGGCGACCGCCUGGCCUAAGACUGACGCUGAGGCACGAAAGCGUGGGGAGCA
rnacentral:rRNA from 1 species